rnacentral:rRNA from 1 species
GUCAUAUCAUCAGUGCCCAAUCUCAUCUGAUCUCGUACACUAAGCAGGUUGGGCUUUGUUACUGCUUGGAUGGGAGACUGCUGGGAAUACUAGAUGC